GAUGAACGCUGGCGGCGUGCCUAAUACAUGCAAGCCGAGCGAAUGGAUUGAGAGCUUGCUCUUAUGAAGUUAGCGGCGGACGGGUGAGUAACACGUGGGUAACCUGCCCAUAAGACUGGGAUAACUCCGGGAAACCGGGGCUAAUACCGGAUAACAUUUUGAACCGCAUGGUUCGAAAUUGAAAGGCGGCUUCGGCUGUCACUUAUGGAUGGACCCGCGUCGCAUUAGCUAGUUGGUGAGGUAACGGCUCACCAAGGCAACGAUGCGUAGCCGACCUGAGAGGGUGAUAGGCCACACGUGGACUGAGACACGGCCCGGGCUCCUACGGGAGGCAGCAGUAGGGAAUCGUCCGCAAUGGACGAAAGUCUGACGGAGCAACGCCGCGUGAGUGAUGAAGGCUUUCGGGUCGUAAAACUCUGUUGUUAGGGAAGAACAAGUGCUAGCUGAAUAAGCUGGCACCUUGACGGUACCUAACCAGAAAGCCACGGCUAACUACGUGCCAGCAGCCGCAGUAA
rnacentral:rRNA from 1 species